UACACUCCUACGGGAGGCAGCAGUAGGGAAUCUUCGGCAAUGGGGGCAACCCUGACCGAGCAACGCCGCGUGAGUGAAGAAGGUUUUCGGAUCGUAAAGCUCUGUUGUAAGUCAAGAACGAGUGUGAGAGUGGAAAGUUCACACUGUGACGGUAGCUUACCAGAAAGGGACGGCUAACUACGUGCCAGCAGCCGCGGUAAUACGUAGGUCCCGAGCGUUGUCCGGAUUUAUUGGGCGUAAAGCGAGCGCAGGCGGUUUGAUAAGUCUGAAGUUAAAGGCUGUGGCUCAACCAUAGUUCGCUUUGGAAACUGUCAAACUUGAGUGCAGAAGGGGAGAGUGGAAUUCCAUGUGUAGCGGUGAAAUGCGUAGAUAUAUGGAGGAACACCGGUGGCGAAAGCGGCUCUCUGGUCUGUAACUGACGCUGAGGCUCGAAAGCGUGGGGAGCGAACAGGAUUAGAAACCCGAGUAGUCCCAUGAU
rnacentral:rRNA from 1 species